rnacentral:rRNA from 1 species
GAUGAACGCUGGCGGCGUGCCUAAUACAUGCAAGUAGAACGCUGAAGGAGGAGCUUGCUCUUCUGGAUGAUUUGCGAACGGGUGAGUAAGGCGUAGGUAACCUGCCUUGUUGCGUGGGGUAACUAUUGGAAACGAUAGCUAAUACCGCAUGACAUCAGUUAUUGCAUGAUAACUGUUUAAAAGUGGCACCUUCCCCACUACCAUAUGGACCUGCGUUGUUUUAGGUAUGUGGUGAGGUAACGGCUCACCAAGGCGAAGCUACAGAGCCGGCCUGAGAGGGUGGUCGGCCAAACUGGGAAUGAGAAACGGCCCAGGACCCUACGGGAGGCAGCAGUAGGGAAUUUUCGGCAAUGGGCGGAAGGCUGGCCGAGCAACGACGGGGGAGUGAAGAAGGGUUUCGGGUCGUAAAGCUCUGUUGUAAGGGAAGGACGAGUGGGAGAGUAGAAAGUUCACGUUGUGACGGUAGCUUAACAGAAAGGGACGGCUAACUUCGUG